CCUACGGGUGGCAGCAGUGAGGAAUAUUGGUCAAUGGGCGUAAGCCUGAACCAGCCAAGUCGCGUGAGGGAUGAAGGUUCUAUGGAUCGUAAACCUCUUUUAUCAGGGAAUAAAGUGCGGGACGUGUCCCGUUUUGUAUGUACCUUAUGAAUAAGGAUCGGCUAACUCCGUGCCAGCAGCCGCGGUAAUACGGAGGAUCCGAGCGUUAUCCGGAUUUAUUGGGUUUAAAGGGUGCGUAGGCGGCCUUUUAAGUCAGCGGUGAAAGUCUGUGGCUCAACCCUAGAAUUGCCGUUGAAACUGGGAGGCUUGAGUAUGUUUGAGGCAGGCGGAAUGUAUGGUGUAGCGGUGAAAUGCUUAGAGAUCAUACAGAACACCGAUUGCGAAGGCAGCUUACCAAGGUACUUCUGACGUUGAGGCACGAAAGCGUGGGGAGCGAACAGGAUUAGAUACCCCAGUAGUC
rnacentral:rRNA from 1 species